rnacentral:rRNA from 1 species
UACGAAGGGGGCUAGCGUUGCUCGGAAUCACUGGGCGUAAAGCGCGCGUAGGCGGCCCUGUAAGUCCGUUGUGAAAGUCAAAGGCUCAACCUUUGAAAGCCGAUGGAUACUGCAGGGCUAGAGUCCGGAAGAGGCGAGUGGAAUUCCUGGUGUAGCGGUGGAAUGCGCAGAUAUCAGGAGGAACACCAAUAGCGAAGGCAGCUCGCUGGGAAGGUACUGACGCUAAGGCGCGAAAGCGUGGGGAGCGAACAGG